rnacentral:rRNA from 1 species
UACAGAGGGUGCAAGCGUUAAUCGGAAUGACUGGGCGUAAAGGGCACGUAGGCGGAUAGAUGUGUCAUAGGUGAAAUCCCGGGGCUCAACCUCGGAACUGCCCUUGAAACUGGAAGGCUAGAAUCCUGGAGAGGCGAGUGGAAUUCCGAGUGUAGAGGUGAAAUUCGUAGAUAUUCGGAAGAACACCAGUGGCGAAGGCGACUCGCUGGACAGGUAUUGACGCUGAGGUGCGAAAGCGUGGGGAGCAAACAGGAUUAGAUACCCCAGUAGU